rnacentral:rRNA from 1 species
CCUACGGGAGGCAGCAGGGAGGAAUAUUGGUCAAUGGACGCAAGUCUGAACCAGCCAUGCCGCGUGCAGGAAGACGGCUCUAUGAGUUGUAAACUGCUUUUGUACGAGGGUAAACGCAGAUACGCGUAUCUGUCUGAAAGUAUCGUACGAAUAAGGCUCGGCUAACUCCGUGCAAGCAGCCGCGGUAAUACGGAGGAUUCAAGCGUUAUCCGGAUUUAUUGGGUUUAAAGGGUGCGUAGGCGGUCGGAUAAGUUAGAGGUGAACUCCCGAGGCUCAACUUCGGAAUUGCCUCGGAUACUGUUCGGCUAGAGAGUAGUUGCGGUAGGCGGAAUGUAUGGUGUAGCGGUGAAAUGCUUAGAGAUCAUACAGAACACCGAUUGCGAAGGCAGCUUACCAAGCUACUUCUGACGUUGAGGCACGAAAGCGUGGGGAGCAAACAGGAUUAGAUACCCGGGUAGUC